rnacentral:siRNA from 1 species
UUGCCAUCGAGGGUGUAGUCGA